rnacentral:sRNA from 1 species
UAUAUUAUAGGAAGCUUAAUUGUGAAUUAUUAGAUUUGACUGCAGAGAGUAUUUUGAGUUUAAUAGUACUGACUGUCAUAGAAAACUGUAAUAUUUGGUGGUUUAAUUAUUGUAAGAGUUACUAUCUAAUUUAAGAUUUAAUAAAUGAUAAGAAUGAUGAUAUUGAGAUGUUGACAUUUGAGUUAUUCUUUUUUAAAGGAGUAAUUAUUAAAGAAUUAUGAGUCUCUCUAUCUAAAUCGUUUGUGCAGAUGCAGUAAUAUUACUUUACUAUCGUUGUAAAUAAAACAAGUAUUCAUAAUCUGAAUUUGAACUUUUUUAGUAUGC